rnacentral:rRNA from 1 species
AGGACGAACGCUGGCGGCGUGCUUAACACAUGCAAGUCGAGCGGAAAGGCCCUUCGGGGUACUCGAGCGGCGAACGGGUGAGUAACACGUGAGUAAUCUGCCCCUAGCUCUGGGAUAGCUCCGGGAAACCGGGAUUAAUACCGGAUAUGACCACUUUAGACAUCUGUUGUGGUGGAAAGAAUUUCGGCUAGGGAUGAGCUCGCGGCCUAUCAGCUUGUUGGUGGGGUAACGGCCUACCAAGGCGACGACGGGUAGCCGGCCUGAGAGGGCGACCGGCCACACUGGGACUGAGACACGGCCCAGACUCCUACGGGAGGCAGCAGUGGGGAAUAUUGCGCAAUGGGCGAAAGCCUGACGCAGCGACGCCGCGUGGGGGAUGAAGGCCUUCGGGUUGUAACCCCUUCAGCAGGGACGAAGCGAAAGUGACGGUACCUGCAGAAGAAGCGCCGGCUAACUACGUGCCAGCAGCCGC